CCUGAGCCUCUCUCUAGCUUUUCACCACACUUAUCACAAACGCAGGAGGGGGAAAGUGGAAGAUAGAGUAUUAGGAAUGAAUUAGAUGGUUCAGAAGCCCUCUCGAUGGCUUCUGCGGACCAUGGCAGAGAGCUGGGGGCGAGCAGAAGGUGGCAGACCACAGACAGGACAGAACUUUAUUUCCAAUGGAGCUUGUCUCGCAUACAAACUAACCCACACCCCCCCCAAAGCAGCAUCGGAGCCGGCAGCGUGUGCCGAGCGCGGUGCAGCCCCCCCCGCCUGCUCCGCACACCGCGCUCCCCAGCAGGGGCACACGGGCCGCUCCUUGGCACCAGCCCCACACAACACCUCCAUCUUACGUCCUGCCCUGAACCCAGCCCUGCACCCAGGGGCGGGUUUUUGUCCCUGCCUCCGUUCCCCCCCCGUCCCUCCCCUCCUGGCCCCGUGGCAGGACUCGGGCCGUUCCUGGAGCGCCGCUCGCUCUGGCCGCGGACGUCGUGUUCCCCCCGCAGCACCAACCCACCGGGGCGGCUCCUCUCGGCACUCCGGGCACCUCCGCGCUGCGCCCCCCGAGCCCCGCAGCGGCACCUUCCCCCCGCGCCGCCGCCGGCCCCAAGUCCUGCGCCGGAUGCCCCAUCUUUAGCAUCGCAGAGUCCGUGCCCCACCGCGUGUGUACACGCAGCGUGCGCCGAGCCGGCAGCUUGCUCCCUGCCACCGCCGGCAGCGCCUCCGCACUCCUGCUUCCAGCCACCUGCAAGCGAGCGUGUUCUCCGGAGGGAAAACCCCGGUAUCCCGGGUGAAGCAAGUUUAUAACGGAGGGUAAAUAAAGCGACAGGAGCUGCGUGGUGUUUGCAAUGCCAGCACCCAUCUGCCAUCGGUUAUUGUUCACUUACAGCGUGUUGGAGGAUGAGAUGUGGCUUCCUAUCAGAUGCUCGUUUCAAACAAGUGAGAUAAUGCUUGUUAGGUUCACUCAUAAUAAGCGAAACUCGGUACAAUUCCCAUCUUCUGAGGGUAGGGAAGGCACAAGGCACGCAGCAAGAAGAGAGCAGCAGAAGCAGAGCUGGAAUCCAGGUCUCAUCCCUCCCUCUCCAGCACAUCUGCUCCUGGAGUGGAUUCAGCCUCUGGUCAGGAAAGUGCCACAAACUCAGCUUUCCCCUCUAAAGAUCUGCAGUUUCUGGUAACAGCUUUGUGCUCACUAUCCUUUGCGAGACUGAACACAAGUUUUCUUGUUGUAAAGUGUUUUCCUCCACCCUUUGUACAAGCAAAUUUUCGCUACAACUAAGGGUUAACAGCUCACAACCUGUUGUAACUGGUUAGUGACUUCUCCCAAAGCUUCCGGCUUCAUUUCAGGCCAUUCAAAACUUGCUGGUUCACUAACCAGGGCUCCAUCCUUCCAAAGGGGUGCUUUAAUCCACACAGGAGUGCGUGCAUCUCCACUUGUUUCCCUUGCUGUGGCAUCAGGAAUGUUUCAGAACAGGUCUAGCACAACAUGCGCUUUAUUCCCUAGAAGGGAAAGUUAUUCCCAGAAAUCUCUUCAUAGCCCUUUUCUUCUUGUCCUGUUUGGCGAGGUUUUUCCUGAGGUGACAGCAAGCUGAGGCAGCAUCCAGCGGUCCUGGCACACACGGGAAGAUCUGCUUUCUCUUUCAUGUUUCAAACUAAGUGUUUAUGUGGGAUAAGCUGAGAGCUGGACAAAAGAGACCUUCCAGUCACUCACUGUGCUGCAGCCUGGCAUCUUCCCUGUGCUUUGGCAGCUCGUGACGAGCCUCUCAAAGGUGAAAUGCAACCAUCUCCUCUGGUUGUGGCUCCAGAGCUAUUAGGCAAGUACCAGCUGUACCUCUGUCUUAGGAUGUGUUUCACAUGGAGUUUUGCCAUCAGGUGCAUCCUCUGAGGUUCUGCUUCAGAGAUGUGAGAGUGAGCUCCAACAGCAGAGGAACAGGGCAGGACUGAGAGGAGGAGAUGAUGAUAGCACAGUUUAUGCCAAAUACCAUUUCCCCUCCCCCCCCGAGGAACUGCAGAUAAGCCGGGUGAGGAGCCUGGGGCAGCAGCAGAGCUGAUAGAGCUGGAAAUAGUGAUUUCCAACAGAAAGGAAGCUGCCAUUUGGGUUCCAAGUUUUCAUAUAGUGAGUAACUUGUCAGAACAGGACCUACUCAGCUUCGGUGGUGACACUCAAGGGAGGAACUCAGCAGCUCAGAUGAUGGGACAAGCUACAGUUAAAUCUUCAGAUGUUUAGUUUUUGCUGAGUUUUUCCCUGCAGACAAAUGGCUUCAGUUUUCCUCUUCCUUUAAAAUUUAAGCUCAAAAACGUAAAAUGGGGAUAAAAAGACACACACGGCAACAUCCCAUUAAAGCAGAUCCCAUUUGUGAAGAUAAUACAGUCAGCAUCCUCCUUGACUGCACAAUGCAGUGAACACUACCUGUCCCAGGCCAGGGAACCACCAUUCCGGGUGUUUGAUGGAUCCACUGGUGGAAUGUGCACAUCCUGCUCCUGAUGGAGAACUACAAGCACUGACCAACCCGUUGUACAAACCUGACCCAACAGCGAGAGCUUCACUGCAGGGAACACUUAAAUAUACUUGAAGGGACAGACAGGAGAGAGCACACACAAGGGCCACUGCAGCCCCACUUCUCCGAGUGGUGUGUACAGCUCCAGCCACUGGCACCGUUCCCUUCUGGCUGUUGUACGGGAUGGAAACAGCUUCACAUCAACCGCUGGGGAAGGCAGUAAUGGCCAAGGUAAAAUGGGACAUCACUGAGCUCCUGCUGGGGGGAUUUCUGGAGAAGUUGG